CGGACGGCUCAGUAACACGUAGUCAACCUAACUCGUGGACGUGGAUAACCUCGGGAAACUGAGAAUAAACCACGAUAGAUCAUAGUGCCUGGAAUGGCUUAUGGUCCAAACAGUUUACUGCCAUGGGAUGGGACUGCGGCCUAUCAGCUUGUUGGUGAGGUAAUGGCCCACCAAGGCGAUUACAGGUACGGGCUCUGAGAGGAGAAGCCCGGAGAUGGGUACUGAGACACGGACCCAGGCCCUAUGGGGCGCAGCAGGCGAGAAACCUUAGCAAUGUGCGAAAGCACGACUGGGUCAGUCCGAGUGAUUCCUGAUAAAGGAGUCUUUUGCUUGUCCUAAAAGCACAGGUGAAUAAGGGGUGGGCAAGUCUGGUGUCAGCCGCCGCGGUAAUACCAGCACCUCGAGUGGUCAGGACGUUUAUUGGGCCUAAAGCAUCCGUAGCCGGCUUUGCAAGUCUUCGGUUAAAUCCACCUGCUCAACAGAUGGGCCGCUGGAGAUACUACAAAGCUAGGGAGUGGGAGAGGCAGACGGUAUUCAGUGGGUAGGGGUAAAAUCCUCUGAUCCAUUGAGGACCACCAGUGGCGAAGGCGGUCUGCCAGAACACGUUCGACGGUGAAGGAUGAAAGCUGGCGGAGCAAACC
rnacentral:rRNA from 1 species